GNGAACGCUGGCGGCGUGCCUAAUACAUGCAAGUCGAGCGAACAGAUAAGGAGCUUGCUCCUUUGACGUUAGCGGCGGACGGGUGAGUAACACGUGGGUAACCUACCUAUAAGACUGGGAUAACUUCGGGAAACCGGAGCUAAUACCGGAUAACAUUUGGAACCGCAUGGUUCUAAAGUGAAAGAUGGUUUUGCUAUCACUUAUAGAUGGACCCGCGCCGUAUUAGCUAGUUGGUAAGGUAACGGCUUACCAAGGCGACGAUACGUAGCCGACCUGAGAGGGUGAUCGGCCACACUGGAACUGAGACACGGUCCAGACUCCUACGGGAGGCAGCAGUAGGGAAUCUUCCGCAAUGGGCGAAAGCCUGACGGAGCAACGCCGCGUGAGUGAUGAAGGGUUUCGGCUCGUAAAACUCUGUUAUUAGGGAAGAACAAACGUGUAAGUAACUGUGCACGUCUUGACGGUACCUAAUCAGAAAGCCACGGCUAACUACGUGCCAGCAGCCGCGGUAAUACGUAGGUGGCAAGCGUUAUCCGGAAUUAUUGGGCGUAAAGCGCGCGUAGGCGGUUUCUUAAGUCUGAUGUGAAAGCCCACGGCUCAACCGUGGAGGGUCAUUGGAAACUGGGAAACUUGAGUGCAGAAGAGGAAAGUGGAAUUCCAUGUGUAGCGGUGAAAUGCGCAGAGAUAUGGAGGAACACCAGUGGCGAAGGCGACUUUUCUGGUCUGUAACUGACGCUGAUGUGCGAAAGCGUGGGGAUCAAACAGGAUUAGAUACCCUGGUAGUCCACGCCGUAAACGAUGAGUGCUAAGUGUUAGGGGGUUUUCCGCCCCUUAGUGCUGCAGCUAACGCAUUAAGCACUCCGCCUGGGGAGUACCACCGCAAGGUUGAAACUUCAAAGGAAUUGACGGGGACCCGCACAAGCGGGGGGAGCAUGUGGUUUAAUUUCGAAGCCAACGCGC
rnacentral:rRNA from 1 species